rnacentral:rRNA from 1 species
AUUGAACGCUGGCGGCAGGCCUAACACAUGCAAGUCGAACGAGUGGCGGACGGGUGAGUAAUGUCUGGGAAAAUGCCCGAUGGAGGGGGAUAACUACUGGAAACGGUAGCUAAUACCGCAUACCAUCGGAUGUGCCCAGAUUGGAUUAGCUAGUAGGUGGGGUAACGGCUGACCGAGGCGACGAUCCCUAGCUGGGCUAAGAGUAUGACCAGCCAAACUGGAACUGAGACACGGUCCAGACUCCUACGGUAGUCAGCAGUGGGGAAUAUUGCACAAUGGGCGCAAGCCUGAUGCAGCCCUGCCGCGUGUAUGAAGCAGGCCUUCGGGUUGUAAAGUACUUUCAGCGAGGAGGCGUUACUCGCAGAAGAAGCACCGGCUAACUCCGUGCCAGCCGCCGCGGUAAUUC